GCCGGGGUGCCCGAGCGGACCAAGGGGGUGGGCUCGAGAGACCCACUGCCCCCUCCAGGGGCACGCGGGUUCGAAUCCCGCCCCCGGCG
rnacentral:tRNA from 1 species